AGAACUCGGGUGAAGGAACUAGGCAAAAUGGUGCCGUAACUUCGGGAGAAGGCACGCUGGCGGUAGGUAAAGUCCCUUGCGGACGGCGCUGAAGCCAGUCGAAGAUACCAGCUGGCUGCAACUGUUUAUUAAAAACACAGCACUGUGCAAACACGAAAGUGGACGUAUACGGUGUGACGCCUGCCCGGUGCUGGAAGGUUAAUUGAUGGGGUCAGCCGCAAGGCGAAGCUCCUGAUCGAAGCCCCAGUAAACGGCGGCCGUAACUAUAACGGUCCUAAGGUAGCGAAAUUCCUUGU
rnacentral:rRNA from 1 species